rnacentral:rRNA from 1 species
UUGGAGGGCAAGUCUGGUGCCAGCAGCCGCGGUAAUUCCAGCUCCAAUAGCGUAUAUUAAAGUUGUUGCAGUUAAAAAGCUCGUAGUUGAAUUUCGGGAUCAGAUUGUCGGUCGUGCUUCGGUAUGCACUGGCAUUAUUGGUUCCUACCUUCUGAAGAACCGCGAUGUCAUUAAUUUGGUGUCGUGGGGAAUCAGGACUGAUACUUUGAAAAAAUUAGAGUGUUUAAAGCAGGCGCACGCUUGAAUACAUUAGCAUGGAAUAAUGAAAUAGGACGUUUGAUUCUAUUUUGUUGGUUUCUAGGAUCGACGUAAUGAUUAAUAGGGAUAGUUGGGGGCGUUAGUAUUCAAUUGUCAGAGGUGAAAUUCUUGGAUUUAUUGAAGACUAACUACUGCGAAAGCAUUUGCCAAGGAUGUUUUCAUUAAUCAAGAACGAAAGUUAGGGGAUCGAAGACGAUCAGAUACCGUCGUAGUCUUAACCAUAAACUAUGCCGACUAGGGAUCGGAUGAUGUUAAUUUUUUAAUGACUCAUUCGGCGCCUUACGGGAAACCAAAGUGUUUGGGUUC